GAAAGCUCAGUGGUAGAGCACAGGCCUUGCAGGCCUGAGGCCCCAGGUCAACCCCUGGCACCUUCA
rnacentral:tRNA from 1 species